rnacentral:rRNA from 1 species
AUGGUCGGACUAGAUAAGAGUGAUAGUUUUGAGUAUUUGGUUGAAAGAAUCAUUGACGGGCUAAAAGGAUGGAAAGAGAAAAUUUUAUCUAUGGGGGGGAAGGAGAUCCUACUCAAAGCAAUUAUACAAUCCAUUCCAGUUUUUGCUAUGGUUGUGUCCAAAAUCCCAAAGCAAGUGUGCAAGGAGAUUACUGAUGCGAUGUCUGCUUUUUGGUGGGGAGAUAAAGAAGAGCACAAGAAGAUGCACUGGUUUGCAUGGUGGAGGAUGUGUCUCCCAAAAUAUAAAGGAGGCAUGGGAUUCAGAGAUUUACAUGCUUUCAAUCUUGCUAUGCUUGCUAAGCAAAGUUGGCGGCUACUAACACACCUUGAUACUUUGUGUGCACAUGUUCUUAGAGCAAAGUAUUAUCCAGAUGGAAAUUUGCUUAUGGCGGGCCCAAAGAAGGGCACAUCUUUUACAUGGCAGAGCAUUGUGGCGGGUCUUCAAACCUUCAAGAGAGGGCAUAUCUGGCGAGUGGGGAUGGGUGCCAAAAUAAAUUUUUGUACGGAUCACUGGAUCCCACAAAGUCCUACAAGGAAGGUUAUCACGCCAAGGGGUAAUAUCUUGUUGACCACUGUUGAUGAACUUAUUGAUCCAGGAACAGGAUGGUGGGAUGAAACCUUGGCUUGGAGGUCCUUGUGUUUGGAAGAGAUCAUAGAUGCAGCUAUUCGCACUAAUCGCUCGGGCUCAGUGGUAAUGGAGGAGUUACUCAAAAAUCCGGUGAAAAAAACUCCUGUCUUGGGACAACUGGGGCUCCAAGAAAUGGUUGCCGUUGGCGCAUGGUACAUCUGGUGGGAACGCCGUGAAGCUGUAAAGUGGGUGAAUGUAAAGCCUGCACCAAGUUCCUCAUUUGCUAUCCAAGCUAUAACUUCAAAUCACGCGACACGUCCAACUGCGGUAACUUCUGAAGCUCGAUGGCAACGUCCGGCUCCUGGGUCAUACAAAAUGAAUGUGGAUGUGUCCUUCUUCGAGGACGGGAGUGGGGCUACAGCUGCUGUUCUUUGUAUUGCCGUGGAGAAGUGA